CCUCUGACUCACUUCUAACUCUCCUCCCACUCGUGCUACAGCCAAUCAGUGGUUUAUCCUGCUUCUCUUUGCUGUUGUUCCUUCAAAAUCCACGGAAGCUCCGAAUAAGUCCACUUUUA